CCCAUCAAAUGUUUAUGUGAUAAUUUUUUGCUGAUGCGCACGAGCGAUACUAAAUUUUUAAUUGCGUGCUGCAAUCAUUUAAAUCAUUCUCGCCCUUCUAGUUUUUGAUCCUCAAUAAUUUUCAAUUGUUGCUUCGAUAAGGUUUUUGUUGUUCAAUGUGUACGUAAACACAGCCUGUUUCUGCU